GACCUUGAACAAGUGGACAUACCAGUGAUCCAAUAACACGUAACCCAAUAUGAGGUACUUAUUCGUCAACUCUACCAAAGCUCCAAAAACAAGGAACUUUUUGUCUGAUUACUUGAUAAAUCAGGGAUAUUACUCGAUCUAUAAAUAUUGGUUUCAACUCGGCAAAGCGAGCAGGCAUGCCCUUCAAUUGGUUUAGCAACAAUUGGAAACUUCACACUUCAUUAAAGCUAAAGCACCUCAUAUGGAGAGCAUCCAAUGGAGCAUUACUUGUGAGAGAACAAUUGUCAUGCAGAAUUGCAGAUGAAUUGCUUCUUUCAAAAUUUUUAAAAGAUGUGGUGCCUCCAAAAGCAUCCCUUACAUCCUCCGUUUUUUCCCUCUUGCUAGUAGUGUUUAGGAACGUGCUC
rnacentral:lncRNA from 1 species